rnacentral:rRNA from 1 species
ACCGGCAGCUCAAGUGGUGGCCAUUUUUAUUGGGCCUAAAGCGUUCGUAGCCGGUUUGAUAAGUCUCUGGUGAAAUCUCACGGCUUAACCGUGAGAAUUGUUGGAGAUACUAGUAGACUUGAGGCCGGGAGAGGUUAGCGGUACUCCCAGGGUAGCGGUGAAAUGCUAUAAUCUUAGGAGGACCACCUGUGGCGAAGGCGACUAACUGGAAUGUACCUGACAGUGAGUAACGAAAGCCAGGGGAGCGAACAG